rnacentral:snRNA from 1 species
UACUACUUUGGUAGUGCAUAUACUAUAAUUGGAACGAUACAGAGAAGAUUAGCAUGGCCCCUGCGCAAGGAUGACACGCCAAUUCGUGAAGCGUUCCAAAUUUUU